AUAAAGGAUAAUUAGUGGCAGACGGGUGAGUAAUGCAUAGGAAUCUACCUAGUAGUAUGGGAUAGCCACUAGAAAUGGUGGGUAAUACUGUAUAAUCCCUGCGGGGGAAAGAUUUAUCGCUAUUAGAUGAGCCUAUGUUAGAUUAGCUAGUUGGUAGGGUAAAGGCCUACCAAGGCGAUGAUCUAUAGCUGGUCUGAGAGGAUGAUCAGCCACACUGGAACUGAGAUACGGUCCAGACUCCUACGGGAGGCAGCAGUGGGGAAUAUUGGACAAUGGGCGCAAGCCUGAUCCAGCUAUGCCGCGUGAGUGAGGAAGGCCUUAGGGUUGUAAAACUCUUUCAGUAGGGAAGAUAAUGACGGUACCUACAGAAGAAGUCCCGGCAAACUCCGUGCCAGCAGCCGCGGUAAUACGGAGGGGGCAAGCGUUGUUCGGAAUUAUUGGGCGUAAAGGGCAUGUAGGCGGUUCGGUAAGUU
rnacentral:rRNA from 1 species